GAUGAAGAACGCAGCGAAAUGCGAUAAGUAAUGUGAAUUGCAGAAUUCAGUGAAUCAUCGAAUCUUUGAACGCACAUUGCGCCCGCCAGUAUUCUGGCGGGCAUGCCUGUUCGAGCGUCAUUUCAACCCUCAAGACCCCUUCGGGGGACUUGGUGUUGGGGACCGGCACAGGGCCUGCUUGCUUGUCUCGCAGCGCCUCGCCGCCUCCGAAAUGAAUUGGCGGCCUCGGCGCGGCCUCCUCUGCGUAGUAGCACAACCUCGCAACGGGAGCGUGACGCGGCCACUGCCGUAAAACAACCCAAUUUUAUUAGAGUUGACCUCGAAUCAGGUAGGAAUACCCGCUGAACUUAAGCAUAUCAAUAAGCGGAGGA
rnacentral:misc_RNA from 1 species